GAGGAAGUGGGAGAUGGGAUGUUGGAAGCAAGAAGCCGCAGUGAUGAGAGGAAGGGGCUGCGAGCCACAGAACGCAGGCGGCCCCUAGAGCUGGAAAGGGCAGGACAUGGAUGCUCCCGGGAGCCUCCGGAAGGAACCGGCCCCACCGACCUGUUGACUUUAGCCCACAAGAGCUUGCUGUGGACUUCUGACCUCAAGAACUCCACAGCGCUGCUGCCUCCCUUGAAGUGGUUCCCGAACCUUCUGCCAAGAGCCCCUUUGGAUGCAGCUGACCUCGUCCAGCCCCCCAUCCCCUCUUCUCCACCUGCCACCCGCCAUUCCCUCUUGAAGCCUUCUAGCCAGAGCCGCUUUCUCGAGCCCCCAUCUCCUCCUGCUUCCGAUUUUAGGAAGUCACUUGUCACAUCCAGUUCUUUUUCCCACUGUUACAUUUUGGAAUCGGAGCAACAGCAGUGGACGUCCUGAGCGCUGACCAAGCGCCUGGCGCUGCGCUGCGUGCGUUCCCUGCAUGUAUUAGUGUUACUCUUAUUACGUCGUCGUUGUUCGUGCCGUCAGGUCAAUCCCGACUCCUGGCGCCCCUGCGCAGAGCAGUGGAAGGAACCCUGCCUGGUCUUCCUGUGCCAUCCUCCCACCUUCUGGCGCCACAUCAGACAAGCUCCGCUGCUAUUCACAGGGUUUUCAUGGCCAAUAUUUUAGGAAGUGUGUGGCCAGGUCCCUCUUCCUAGACAGUCUUAGUCGGGAAGCUCCACUGACACCUGUCCCCCAUGGCUGACCCGGCUGGUAUUUGAAAUCCCAGUGGAACAGCUUUCAGCAUCACAGCAACAUGCAGCCGCCAGUCUGACAACUGACAGACAACAGACAGGGGGGGUGGGUGGGGAUCCCUGACUGGGAAAUGAAUCCUGGGCCGUGGCGGGCAAUGAGGCCACCAAAUCUUAACCACUAGACCACGAUGGCUGGCUAUCAUUAUUAUUAAUUUUAUUUUAUUUAUAAAAUUUAGUCAAUUUUAUUUUAAAUAUUUACUAUUACUAAUCAAUAUAAUUAGAUUUUAAAUUUAGUUUUUCUUAUCACAUUUAAAUUUCCCAAGAACCCUAAUGAGAAAGUUUCUAGAACAAGCCCCAUUUCACAGAUGAGGAAACUGAAGUUCAGAGAAGUUAAGAUACCUGCUCAAAGCCACACAGCGAAUGGCACAGCAAAGAUUCAAA
rnacentral:lncRNA from 1 species